rnacentral:rRNA from 1 species
AUUGAACGCUGGCGGCAGGCUUAACACAUGCAAGUCGAGCGGGGACUUCGGUCCUAGCGGCGAACGGGUGAGGAAUGCUUGGGAAUCUGCCCAGUAGCGGGGGAUAACGUUUCGAAAGGAGCGCUAAUACCGCAUACGCCCUACGGGGGAAAGGGGGGGAUCUUCGGACCUCUCACUAUUGGAUGAGCCCAAGUCGGAUUAGCUAGUUGGUGGGGUAAAGGCCUACCAAGGCGACGAUCCGUAGCUGGUCUGAGAGGAUGAUCAGCCACACUGGAACUGAGACACGGUCCAGACUCCUACGGGAGGCAGCAGUGGGGAAUAUUGGACAAUGGGCGAAAGCCUGAUCCAGCCAUGCCGCGUGUGUGAAGAAGGCCUUCGGGUUGUAAAGCACUUUAAGCGAGGAGGAAUGGCUCUGGGUUAAUACCCUUGAGCAGUGACGUUACUCGCAGAAUAAGCACCGGCUAACUCUGUGCCAGCCGCCGCGGUAA